rnacentral:rRNA from 1 species
UACAGAGGGGGCAAGCGUUGUUCGGAAUUACUGGGCGUAAAGGGCGCGUAGGCGGCCUGCUAAGUCGAACGUGAAAUCCCCGGGCUCAACCCGGGAACUGCGUCCGAUACUGGUUGGCUUGAAUCCGGGAGAGGGAUGCGGAAUUCCAGGUGUAGCGGUGAAAUGCGUAGAUAUCUGGAGGAACACCGGUGGCGAAGGCGGCAUCCUGGACCGGCAUUGACGCUGAGGCGCGAAAGCCAGGGGAGCAAAGCGGGG